rnacentral:lncRNA from 1 species
UUUUUUUUUUUCCUGGGCUAGGACCCAGAUUUGGCCCUGGCAAGCAGGACAGCCUGGCCCCACACCGGAACCUCAGUUCCUCCUGGGUUUCAGAGAACUGGAAUCCCCAGGCCCAGCCUCUCCCGGCCAAGGAGCCUCACCAGAAACUGAGGCUUCCGGCUCGCUCCCAGCCUGGAGACUGCAGGCCAGUCUGGCUGGCAGAUGCUCCUCCAGCCCUGGCCGCAUCUCGGCGCUGUCCUGGUACACGGAACGCCUUAGCUUGAGGCUGGAAGAAACUCCACGCGUUUGGCCCAAAAGAGGCAACUCCUUCCAGCUGGCCCGGACGCUGGGCCUUAACAGUGACCCAGAUGAACUGAUUUUGUACAGAGAGUGGGUGGAGAGGACCCUGGGGACCGGGGGUUGUGGGGGAGGAGGGAAAAGCCGGCGCUUGGCUCCGUGCACAGCGUUUCCUUGGCCGAGCUCCAGAGGAGAGACGGGAUCCAGGGCGAAGGGCCCUUGCAGACCCCCUACCCCCACCCCGCAUGCCCGGGCCUUCCUGCUGGACAUCGGGUCGGCCCUGUGCCCCGAAGACAGUCCCCUCGCCAAGCAGGGGCUGCCCAGGAAGGGAGGCCACGGGCUUCACGUGUGGAGGGAGUGGCUCCUGUGGACAUGAGAAGACGACACCAAAGGCUGGGACAUUCCUCCAAAUAGAACUCGGGGCCCCCGCCCGCCCGAGAGACGUAAAGGCCGCGCUGCCUGCGCCCCCACAUGUGCACUCUCUACGGCGCGCCCGCCUCCGAAGCCAGGGCGCCCAGGGCCUUGGCCCCGCUCUCAGAUGAGGAGUGGCGCUCGUGUGAGCCUGGCACUGUCUUCUCACCCAAGAGAAGGAGAAAGGCAAAAGGAAAGAGACUGAGCCGCCUCCUUUUAGAUGCCCGCCACCCUCAGAUGGCAGAGCCGGAAUGCCCCAGGUACACCGCCUGCCCAGUGGUGAUGCACAGGCUGGAGGCCGCCUUCCCCUCUCGCGCACCUGCCUGAUGCCCGGCUGCCGGGCUGCUGCGCUGCCGGGCGGGGGCGGCGUCAAUGUUCUGCGAGGAACGUGUCUUACCCAGGCCUGCCUCAUGCCAAGCCCCACUUGCUUCAGGCCAGUCCCUUCUAAUCUGCGCUGUUGUUGUAAACACUGGAGAAGCGGGAUCUUUCUAGCAAGGGCAGUGUUAUCUGGAAUAAAAUGUUAGCCCUUAAGAGUGCUCUCGUGUUCCGCCAACAGCGAGGCGGAGAGCAGAGGAGGGAGAGUCAGAACGUGGGGUAUGUGGCAGAGACGGUGCAAGCCAUCUCUGUGUGUCGACCCCGUCUUUAAAGGCAAGAUUAACAGCGAUACAUAAAUAUAAAUGUUUCUUUCUGGCCAAGCACCGCAGAUUAGAUUUCACAUUCGAAAUGUAAAUCGUGCCUAGGAAACAUCGAUGUUUAUUUUCAGCAACUGACCCUCGGGGAUAAAAAUAAAAAGGAAAAGGGAAACAAACAAAACCGGGUUACUGACAAGCUGUAGGAUGCUCUAUUUUAUAUCUCACAGAUAUUUUACAGCUCUGGCAUUUCUAGGGAACACUUUGGAGUACUUGUAGUCCGGUUUGUCCAUAAAAAAGCCGUCUGUGUUUUUAUGUUUUGAAAAGACAUGUGGAGAAGCCCACAGCAUGUCCUGUCAGGCAUCUUAUCCUUGAAGAAACAGCAGGCAGCAUCAAUGUCACCCACGUACUGUCCCCACCCCCGCCACCCUUUGAGAAGUGUCUUGGGGCUGUCUCCAGCCAAAUCAGCACUGUGCUUCUUGAUUCAUGCCCUGGACUGUUUGCGAAGACAUCUGAAUUAUAAUAUGUAGCGGGGGAAGCACCGUCUGGCUGUCCCAUCUUGACUGAUGUUGUUUCUGCAUCCCACCUUGCUUAAUCAGGAGCAGGAGCCAGGGAUGCUGGGCAGGGGCAGGGGUGCUGGAUGGGCGUGGGCAUGCUGGGUGGGAGUUGAGUUGGUGGACUGAGGCGGGGAUGCUGGGUGGGUGCUGGUUCAUGCCUUCCCUGUGUCAGGUCUCCCUCCAUGGAGCCAUCCCCUUGCUUUGGUUCCCAGGCAGCAGGGGCGAAUGCUAUUCCUUCCACCUCCUUUGUCUUUGUCAAACCCACCACCCUUUCCAGGAGCACGGAUAUUUCAUUAUCUGCUGCUGUUAUGUUGUGAUCAUGGAUCCCCCAGCUGUGCUCAAAACCACCUCCCUCUUGCGAAACACAAGGAGGUGGUUUUACCAGCAGAAUCUGGUGUGUGUGUGUACACAUGUGUGCUUUCCCCAUGCACACAUGCGUCCAUGCUUAUACACUUGUGCACAGUUGGCGCCGUUGGCAGCUCAAGGUGAAGCCCUCCCGCUCCGGAUGACCUGGGACUCAGCUGUGAGGUGGAGCUGGCAAGAAUUUUGCCACCCAGUUGUUAAACACACACUGUUAAAACUUGAGUUACACAAACUUACCAUUAAAUAAAUUAUAUUCGAAACAACGUUGUGAAAUAAUCCAAGCGCAGUGCUUCCCAGUGAUUUUACGACCCCUGACGGUCUUCAUCUGCGCUCCUGAGCUUGUCUGCCCUGGAUGGCAGAAAUGCCCAGGGCUCUGCCCAGCCCUGCGUCCAGUGACAUCGUCUUGCCAGCUUGAAGAAGCCGUGGCAGGAGUAUUGACACCGCAGAAACAGGCAAAAAAACCACAAACCAAGCCUUGGUUGAUUGUUUCUUUUAUAUUGUCGUGGCUUCAGAAAAUAAUUAUAACAUUAAUAAUGAAGAUUAACUACAAGGGUGUCCUGACCAGAAUGAUGCAUAGUGAAUAUUAUUAAAAAAGAGGAAAUACCCCCUCAGCAUAUUAAAAACAUAUUAUUACCAAACUCAGUAAAGAAGCUGCUCAGGCCAUUGAAGAAUGAGCACCGAUCCCAAAUAGGUCCAUCUGGAUGGUUUCACUUUCAUCUUACCGUUAACUUGAAAGUGUGAACCAAGCUUCUGGGUUGUGGAUGCGAGAGACUAAAAUCAGGGAAAGCCCCAGGUGAGAGUCAGUUGGCUCCGUGAAAUUUAUAAUGAAGAGUGUUGCCUGUUUUCACUUGUAAAUUGUGUGCCAACGUCUUUUAUAUCACUCAGUUUUAGAAUAAGCAUGUAUAGGGUUGGCCCUUCAUAUCCACGGGCCCCAGAUUCAAUCAGUGUUUGGUUGAUCACAAAUAUUUGGGGAAAAAAAUUCCAGAAAUAGCAAAAAGGCAAGCUUGAAUUGGCCACACGCUGGCAACUGCUUCCAUAGCAUAUACAUUGCGUUUGCAGCUAUUUAUCUAGCAUUUACAUUGCAUUCGGUAUUAAAAGUAAGCUGGAGAUUAAAGUGUAGGAAAGGCUGUGCUUAGGUUUUGUGCAAAUGCGAUAGCAUCUUUUGUGAGGAACAUCUGCGCGUGCAGAUUUUGGUGUCUCGGCUGGGGGGGGGGGUCCCAGAACCAGUCCCGGGGUAGUCUGCAGGGCUGGAUUUGUAUUUCGAGGCAGGCUUUUCUUUUUGGAGAGCCACUGGUGCUCCGUCACUGCUCACCUGCAGAAAAUGUUUGCGGAUUCAUUGAGAUGGCCUGUGCAGAUGGGCCUGCUCCAGUGCCUGGCACAAAGCUACCACGAUGGCCAUGGUCGUGAGCGUUGUCUCCACCCUUGUCACCAUCAGAGGGAACAAGGUGACAGGUGCCAGCACGGCAUGUCCAGGAGCAGAGUCACCCAGUGUGAUGGGCCGCCCAGUGUGCCUGGGGGAAAUGGCUCGCCCGCCAUCCCAGGAUGUUCAUUUUCCCAGAGCCAAAACCUCCCAAGGCCGGUAAGCAGCAGGCCCGCCCCUUCCUUGUGAUAUGCUUCCAACAGGCAGUUCCGAAAGCAGAGGAAGCAGGCGGUGGCCGUCGCCCAUGUUCCAGGUGGCCAGUUGCCUCCCGCCUCCCCACCACCCCUCGCACCUGCUCUCCGAAUGCAGAGACCGUUUCUGUCCCGAAUCAAACCGUUCAUCAGGGUUUAAAGGUACGCCUUCUGCCCAGACACCCUGACUCCGCAAGAAGGAUCUGAAAUCUUCUGAGAGCUCUCAAACGACGUGCACCUGAAAUGUCCACCUGAAAACAAAAAAGAUGCAGGAUGACACCUGGCCGCCCUGUGGAAAAGGAUCGGGGCCUGCCAGGGCUCUUAGGCAUCGCCGGCCGUCUGCUGUGUGGGGUGCUUAAUAGUUUCAAGAGCUCAGGGUCCCGGCUGCCAGGCCUGUUGCCUAGGACAGGCCCAGGCCCGUGGAACAAGCGGCUUCGGAGCAAUCUCAGUACCUCCUGGCUUCCGUAGCCUCCUCUGUUUCUUGUUAUUCUAGUUGAGUACUGCGUUCAGACAGAGGUUGCCAAUAAAGUUUAUUGUAGGAGCCGCGUGUCAAUAUCUGUUGUACCCCCCGCCUAGGGUGCUUGUAAUUAAAAUGCCACAGAUAGUCUGGGAGAGGCAUGAAAAUUUGAUGGCACAUUGAUUUCAGGUUCAUCUUGAAAUUUGUCCUCCGCUGGACUCGAUACGCCAGGCAGAUGCGGGGUGGCUUUUGUCAGGGGGGCCCUGCUGCAAUGAGACAGAGCGGUCUCGAUCUGAAUAUUAAAUACAACUCACUGCUUAUGACAGAUGACUCCUUGGGCGCUGAAACACGCCGCACUCCUCUGUGCCCAUUCUUCUCCACGGAAUGUGUAAGAUAGGCUCACACAGAUGCACUUUACACGUGAAAAGAACUUGUAAGAAAGUCUCUGGGCAAAAGAAAUAAAGAGUUUCGAGAAAUGCUGGCUUCAAACCCAGGAUAGUCUGUCCAGUAUUCCAAACGUAGAAAUGUUCCUUGGAUCUGAUUUAAGAAAGCUGGAAAUAUAAUGGUAACGAAGAUAAUAGCGUCAUCAAGGAUCACGGCCCUGCAGGUUUUCCUCAGAAUGGCGUGUUAUAGAAAAGCAAAGGAAGCUGUGUGAGUGGGGUAAACAGUCCCAAUAUUUAAUGUUAUAAAUUGCUGGUUCCUGUAAACUCGCAUUUAUGCAUCCCAUUAGAAAAGCCAUUAUCCUUAUGUAUUGUUCAUGCAGAAAUGCACUGUGAAUAUAAUACAAUUUUAAAAGUGUAUUUGUUUUCAGAAUUUAAUUUGAAAAAGGUUUGAGGGAAAAAUAAUGUGGAGUUUUGAGUGUUUUUAAUUUUAAAAAUGCGUUGUUCAGUUGAGUUAAAUGUGCUCAAGAAAAACGCAUUUUAUUACCUGAAACUGUUUAUUUGGCAAUUAAUUUGCUCACAUGGAGAACAUUCAUGCAUUCUUUAAGCAAAUAAGAAUUGAAUCCUGGAGUUCCCACUGUGGCCCAGCGGGUUACGGACCUGGUGUUGUCUCUGCAGUGGCUUGGGUGCCUGCUGAGGCACGGGUUCAAUCCCUGGCCGGGGAACUUCCAUAUGCUGCGGGUGCAGCUGGGGUGAUGGUGGGAGGGAUUGAGUCCCUACUGUCUGCAGGGCAAAAGUGGAUGAGAAAAGAUUUCUAUGAGCCGCAUGUCCCAGGCUACCUGUCACUCUGUAUAAGCGGUGCCUCAAUUAAUUUUUCAAAAACGCCUGAGCUAGUGAUGCCAAAGUCUGCGCGACUCCCUGGAAAACAAAUGAAGGGGGUGCUUUCACUCCUUCUGAAGUGGAAUUUUCGAAUGGAAACAGAAGCAGUGCCCUUCACUUCGGGAUGGAAGCAUCUGUUCGGUGUCUCUCGCAGGGAGACUCGAGACGCGCGUCUCGCUCAGGGUGAUGUCUCGGGCAGGCCCGGGGACUAAGGCCCGUCAGCGGAACGAGCCCGGCAGAUGCUCCUGGGUCAUCAAAGUCACUCCUUGGCACAUUCAGGAGAUAUUUAUGGAUCUUUUAUUAGGGCAGUUUUUAUGGCCCAAGAUUAAAAGUUGGAAGUUAAAUAGUAAAAGUAAUGAAGAUGGGCCUUCGGAGGAUCCAACCGGUUUGUGUUUUCAUUCCCUCCGUUUGCCAAGGCCCAUUGAAUUUUGAUGAUAGUGUUU